rnacentral:rRNA from 1 species
CCUACGGGAGGCAGCAGUGAGGAAUAUUGGUCAAUGGACGAGAGUCUGAACCAGCCAAGUAGCGUGAAGGAUGACUGCCCUAUGGGUUGUAAACUUCUUUUAUAUGGGAAUAAAAUGUUCCACGUGUGGGAUUUUGUAUGUACCAUAUGAAUAAGGAUCGGCUAACUCCGUGCCAGCAGCCGCGGUAAUACGGAGGAUCCGAGCGUUAUCCGGAUUUAUUGGGGUUAAAGGGAGCGUAGGUGGAUUGUUAAGUCAGUUGUGAAAGUUUGCGGCUCAACCGUAAAAUUGCAGUUGAAACUGGCAGUCUUGAGGACAGUAGAGGUGGGCGGAAUUCGUGGUGUAGCGGUGAAAUGCUUAGAUAUCACGAAGAACUCCGAUUGCGAAGGCAGUUCACUGGACUGCAACUGACACUGAGGCUCGAAAGUGUGGGUAUCAAACAGGAUUAGAUACCCUAGUAGUC